UACGGGGGGGGCAAGCGUUGUUCGGAAUUACUGGGCGUAAAGGGCCAGUAGGCGGCCAACUAAGUCAGACGUGAAAUCCCUCGGCUUAACCGGGGAACUGCGUCUGAUACUGGAUGGCUUGAGAUUGGGAGAGGGAUGCGGAAUUCCAGGUGUAGCGGUGAAAUGCGCAGAUAUCAGGAAGAACACCCGUGGCGAAGGCGGCUCUCUGGGACGGUACUGACGCUGAGACGCGAAAGCGUGGGGAGCGAACAGG
rnacentral:rRNA from 1 species